GUUUGAUUCUGGCUCAGGACGAACGCUGGCGGCGUGCCUAACACAUGCAAGUCGAACGGUAAGGCCUUUCGGGGUACACGAGUGGCGAACGGGUGAGUAACACGUGGGUGAUCUGCCCUGCACUUUGGGAUAAGCCUGGGAAACUGGGUCUAAUACCGAAUAGGACCAUGGACUUCACGGUUUGUGGUGGAAAGCUUUUGCGGUGUGGGAUGGGCCCGCGGCCUAUCAGCUUGUUGGUGGGGUAAUGGCCUACCAAGGCGACGACGGGUAGCCGGCCUGAGAGGGUGACCGGCCACACUGGGACUGAGAUACGGCCCAGACUCCUACGGGAGGCAGCAGUGGGGAAUAUUGCACAAUGGGCGCAAGCCUGAUGCAGCGACGCCGCGUGAGGGAUGACGGCCU
rnacentral:rRNA from 1 species